rnacentral:lncRNA from 1 species
GGGGAAUAGGAGGAGCAUUGCUUGCAUUUGAUGGUCAUUUGGACAAUUUAAUUUAGAAAAUGAUAAAACCUUGGAACUAGAUAGACCAAACUAGUUUGAGAUUGAGACGUUGAUUAAUUAUUAACUGAAAUAGUAGAGCAAUGAAUUUAGAAGUCACUGCAAUGGGGUAAAGUACAAAAUUUGAUGAAUCCAAAGGAUACUGACAAGGGGGAAAUCUUGGAAGUUUUAUGGCUAAAAGGGAAAGCUCUAUGAAGAAAAACCUUUAUUGGGAUUAUGCACGUAAAGAGGAGGCAAUCUGCACUCGGAAUUUCAAUGUCAGGUGCAACUAAACUUUGCAUUUCCUUAGCCACUUACUGUCUUUUAAAAGUGUCAGUUUUUAGCUUCUCCUUGGAGUAUUAUAAUCCUUCUUAUGAGGGCUUUGCAGUGAUAAAAGAAUAAGGUAUUUGGUAGGAAUAUGAUACUGUUAUUGGUAGAGUGUCAAGUCCAGAAAAAUGAGUUGUGCGUAUAUUUUCUUGGUAAAAUAUUUGCUAUUCUGUUCAUGUUAUAGCAGGCUUAAACUUAAUGAGACAAGGUCACAGGCUCCAAAUAGAAGAAACGAUAUGUAACUUUGGCUUGUUAAAGAUAUCUGAUGUGCUUUUUUAAUCAUGUGAUAUCAUCCUAUAGUUCUUGCAAUUAGGGUGCAGCAGAAUGUGUCUUAUCUCUCAUAUUACAUUUAUCGUCAGUCUAUUUUUGGCAUCUGAAACCUUAGUAAAAUAGACUAAAAUGCUACUGUAAUAGAAAAUUGUUUCUUUUUAUAAAGGUGAAUGGUUCAACUAAAUUACUGUGGGCAUGUCAUAUCAGAGCUAAAGUUUUGUCCUUAAGCUACUUUGUCUCGCCCCUGCAUCCAUUGACCCUCACUGAGCCAUACAUUCUACUAGCUGUAGCUUGCUUUGCUCCCUGCUAUUCUAUCCCUUGUUCUGAUGUAUAAUUAGUCGGUUUGACCAACAAAAGAUAAAGUAAUUGGUAUCUAUUUGUGUCUUGACCUCUUGUUCUAGUGGAAAUCCUAGAGAAAGUCCAUCUUCUUGCUAACUGAACCCUGCAUUGCAGGAGGGAAUUGCAACAUUAGGCUGCUUCUCCAAUUCUUAUAUACCUGUUAGUCUGUUACAUUGAUGCUAGAAUGGAUCAAUAAAUCUGAUAGGCAGUUUUAGAUUUCUAGAAAGUUAUGAGAGAUGACCUUGUCAGUAGAAAAAUAAACAUUUCUGCGAGAUUAUGAAACAUAGACACGAAUGCUUGCAUUAGGGUAGGCUGUCUACAACACAUCCCUUGGGGUGCGCCCCUUCCUCGGAACCCUACGUGAACGCGGGAUGACUUGUGUACCGGGUUGUCCAAUUAUGAAACAUAGACACGAGGGGGGGGGGGGGGAGGAAAGAGAGAAUAAGAGAGUUUAUGAAACAUAUGACUGAAAUAUGUGAGUUGCAAGAUGUUGAUUUAUAAAAGGAAAAACGUCUAGUAACACCUGAAAGAGUGGUAUGAACUGCACAUUUGGAUAGAACAGCUUGAGACCUGAUAACCUCUUUCUAAGAGUGGUAUGAACUGCACAUUUGGAUAGAACAGCUUGAGACCUGAUAACCUCUUUCCUCAGAUAAGUUAAAAACAGUAGUUUCUCAUAGUGGAUUUCUUUUUCAAGUUGUUUUUGCUUCUUAUAGUAGUUCCUUAAUAAUGAAGCACUAUCAGCAGCAGCCUCCACUUCUGUUUGUCUCAUUGCUUGUGCUAAUGUGUGCAAAACAGGACUGAUAAUGGGGCCUCUCUUUUGCUGAGCUCAACUUACUGAGGCCACUCGCUGCAUAUGCUGUUCUCUUUUAUCCUUAACCUUGUUUUCUGUGAUGUGGAAAUGAAGAAAAAAGAAAAUGUUUAUAGUGGUGCUUUCAUUUUUUUUCCCCCCUUCUCCCACUCAAUUAUCUCUUAUUACCCUUCCACUCAAUUUGGGAAGUCUUGGCGUAACUGGUAAAGUUGCUGCCAUGUGACCAGGAGGUCACAGAUUCGACCCGUGGAAACAGCCUCUUGCAGAAAACUGCGUACAAUAGACCUUUGUGGUCCGGCCAUUACCUGGACCCCGUGCAUAGCGGAAACUUAGUGCACCAGGCUGCCCUACCUUCCUGUUAAGAGUUGUGAAGGAUUUUGAUAUCUCUUUCUGACCAAACCAGGUGAUUGUUUUAUGGCUGAUCUUAGUGGGGUUCUUGAUUUUGUUUAUGGGCAAGCUACUCGUGAUUUCAUAUUUCAAAUAAUCUUAUCUUAAUAACAUAGCUUAUAGAAUUAUCCGCGGAUUAAGUUAUGCAUGAAAACAUUAAUGGUUUAACUAAGAGUAACAUAGUCCUAAGAUGUUAUUGGAAAUUCAGAUACAAUCAAACAUCUUUAUAACAACCUCGUUCGUUCCGAUAUUGUUUGGAUGCUACAGUGAAGUAUUGUUAUAAUAUAAAAAUCGAUUCUAAGAAAAACUUAGCUUUUAUAGAAAAUGACUGUUAUAGAUGUUAUAGAGAGGUCUUACUUUAUAUAUGAAGGUCUUACUUUAUAUAUGAAAUGAUGUUCAUUUCUUGAAAUAAAGACUCAUUGCCAUUCAUGUAAAACAAAACAACAUGAAGAAAAUGAAACUGAGAAAACAUUCUCUGUCUCUCUUUUCAGUGAAGCAGAUUUGUGCAAGGAGUGAUGGAUAGGUUUGAUGAUUCAGCUUUGAGAUGAGCAGUGGUGCAUGGAACAUCUUCGAGAUCGCAUAAAUCAGGGAAAAUACUGUUAAAUUGAAGAACUGUAAGCAUCUGACGAAGGUCUGAAGCCUCUUCUUUUAACUGUGCAUUUUCUUGAAGUACUUUAUCAUGACAAUCCGAGACUUGGUUUAACUUAUCGAUCAAAUUAUGAUUCUCCGUCCUAAGACGAAGAACUUGUGACCAUAGUUCAUCAAGGUGUUUUUGUUUCCUCAUCCUUGAUCUUCUUGCUGAUUCCCUAUUAGAUAUCAUCCUCCUUUUCUUUCUCUCGUCGAUGAUCCUAAGUUGCUGCUCGUCUGCUUCAUCAGAGGUAGAGUUACCGCUGAUGC